rnacentral:rRNA from 1 species
AGAGUUUGAUCCUGGCUCAGAUUGAACGCUGGCGGAAUGCUUUACACAUGCAAGUCGAGCGGCAGCGCGGGGGCAACCCUGGCGGCGAGCGGCGAACGGGUGAGUAAUACAUCGGAACGUACCCUGUCGUGGGGGAUAACUAACCGAAAGGUUAGCUAAUACCGCAUACGACCUGAGGGUGAAAGCGGGGGAUCGCAAGACCUCGCGCGAUAGGAGCGGCCGAUGUCAGAUUAGCUAGUUGGUGAGGUAAAGGCUCACCAAGGCGACGAUCUGUAGCGGGUCUGAGAGGACGGCCCGCCACACUGGAACUGAGACACGGUCCAGACUCCUACGGGAGGCAGCAGUGGGGAAUUUUGGACAAUGGGCGCAAGCCUGAUCCAGCCAUUCCGCGUGAGUGAAGAAGGUCUUCGG